rnacentral:misc_RNA from 1 species
GCUGAAGAACGUAGCGAAAUGCGAUACGUAAUGUGAAUUGCAGAAUUCAGUGAAUCAUCGAAUCUUUGAACGCAUAUUGCGCUCUUUGGUAUUCCGAAGAGCAUGCUUGUUUGAGUAUCAGUAAACACCUCAGAGUCUUUUUUUCUUGAAGAAAAAGACCUUGGACUUGAGCAAUCCCAACUCUUCUUUCAGAAGAGGCGGGUUGCUUGAAAUGCAGGUGCAGCUGGACAUUCUCCUGAGCUAAAAGCAUAUUCAUUUAGUCCCGUCAAACGGAUUAUUACUUUUGCUGCAGCUAACAUAAAGGGAGUUUGACCAUUUUGGCUGACUGAUGCAGGAAUUUCACAAGAGUCUUCAAAACGCUCUUGUUAAACUCGAUCUCAAAUCAAGUAAGACUACCCGCUGAACUUAAGCAUAUCAAUAAGCGGAGGA